rnacentral:misc_RNA from 1 species
GAUGAAGAACGCAGCGAAAUGCGAUAAUUAAUGUGAAUUGCAGAAUUCCGUGAAUCAUCGAGCCUUUGAACGCACAUUGCGCCUCAUGGCAUUCCGUGAGGCAUGCCCAUCUCAGCGUUAGAAAAUAUUCUCAAAUUUUAGUUUUGUGCUAAAAUUUGGAUCAUGUCAAAGAAGCUAUUACUAUUAUUGUGAUCGCUCUUUGGAAAUUGAUAGGUCUUUGAGUUGCUACUCAUAGAACGUGAUGAAUCUUUCUUCGUUCUAUUGUAAUUCACUCUGGUAGUCCUAAAACUUGUAUGCCUGUGGCAUAUCUUGUAAUUUGACCUGAGAUUGGGUAGUGAUACCCGCUGAACUUAAGCAUAUCAAUAAGCGGAGGA